GAAAUGCGAUAAGUAAUGUGAAUUGCAGAAUUCAGUGAAUCAUCGAAUCUUUGAACGCACAUUGCGCCCGCCAGUAUUCUGGCGGGCAUGCCUGUUCAAGCGUCAUUACAACCCUCAGGCCCCCGGGCCUGGCGUUGGGGAUCGGCGGAAGCCCCCUGCGGGCACAACGCCGUCCCCCAAAUACAGUGGCGGUCCCGCCGCAGCUUCCAUUGCGUAGUAGCUAACACCUCGCAACUGGAGAGCGGCGCGGCCACGCCGUAAAACACCCAACUUCUGAAUGUUGACCUCGAAUCAGGUAGGAAUACCCGCUGAACUUAAGC
rnacentral:misc_RNA from 1 species